rnacentral:ncRNA from 1 species
UCUUCGGGGUGGGUGAAAUUCCCAAUCGACGGUAAAGAAGGAGAUAACUUCUGAGCCCGUGACCUGUAUAGUAUAACAACUAUAUGGCUGAUCUGGUUAAAUUCCAGAGCCGACAGUUAAAGUCUGGAUGGGAGAAGAU